rnacentral:rRNA from 1 species
GAUGAACGCUGGCGGCGUGCCUAAUACAUGCAAGUAGAACGCUGAAGGAAGGAGCUUGCUCUUUCCGGAUGAGUUGCGAACGGGUGAGUAACGCGUAGGUAACCUGCCUGGUAGCGGGGGAUAACUAUUGGAAACGAUAGCUAAUACCGCAUAACAGUAGAUGUUGCAUGAUAUCUACUUAAAAGGUGCAAUUGCACCACUACCAGAUGGGCCUGCGUUGUAUUAGCUAGUUGGUGAGGUAACGGCUCACCAAGGCGACGAUACAUAGCCGACCUGAGAGGGUGAUCGGCCACACUGGGACUGAGACACGGCCCAGACUCCUACGGGAGGCAGCAGUAGGGAAUCUUCGGCAAUGGAUGGAAGUCUGACCGAGCAACGCCGCGUGAGUGAAGAAGGUUUUCGGAUCGUAAAGCUCUGUUGUAAGAGAAGAACGAGUGUGAGAGUGGAAAGUUCACACUGUGACGGUAUCUUACCAGAAAGGGACGGCUAACUACGUG